UUCUCAUUCUUUGUUUUUCAUUCAUCUACAUGCAUACUUUAACAAGUUAUGUUUUAAAAUUCAGUUAUGGGAAGCUGAUCAUGUACUUGCAGUGGUAGACGGGGGUGGAGAGUGUGAUCUGGAGAACUACAGGACACUUUGUGUUCCUUGUCAUCGUCAAGUCACGGCCGAGCAGCGCGACAGACGAAGAAGGAACAACGCAAACAACAAGUCGUUAAUGUACCGGAUAUUACGUCAUUCUUUAAAAAAGUUGAAAACAGGAGAAGGCAAGAAAAAAAGGUUUUGCAAGAGGCUCUGUGAGACAUUUUGUAGCAAUUUCUGGAUGCUUUCGAAGCAUAGCAUGAAUAGUCAUAACAACAGCCUGGCAAUAUCGAUACUGCAGUUUUGAUGAGGGUAAAUGAAGCAGAGGCAAAAGCUAAAAAUGCAGAGAUUUAAAUCAAGAUUAUUAAUGAUGAUGACAAUCCCCACCUUUUCAAUUCAUAUGUUUCAUAAAUAUAUUUAACUUAUAAAUGCCUGAUAUGAAAUGCUCCAGUAAUAUUCCUUGAUAGUUUUUAUUUGUAAUGGGCAAUUGGAUAUAACUUCACUGAUCAUUUCACAAAUUUUCCAUUCACUUGGCAAACCUAACAUAAAUAUAACAAACUUCAUUCAAUGGAAGUUUCUUGAUUUUUUUGGCCAAGCCAUUAAAUAUCUUGUUUUGGCUAAUUAUUUAAUUUGAAGUAACACAUUUUCUUA